GAACGAUUUGGAGAUGAUCUGGCCGCAGCACUGGUUGCCAGGGUUGAUUCAACAGACCUGCUGGCUGGCGGGUGCCCUCUUCCUCUCCACAGCAGCUGAUGAGUAGCUGCCCUUGCUCUGUGCUAGAACCUCCAAACAAGCUCUCAUGGUCUCUUUGUAGGCAGGCAUAGGGUAGCCAAGCCUUCAAGACUCCAGAUAUAUGGACCAAAAUAAAAUUAUGUGAAAUUCUAUAU
rnacentral:snRNA from 1 species